UCGUUGUAGCAAUACGAUGGAAAGUCUAGUGGCGAACGGGUGCUUAACACGUGGGCAACCUGCCGGGAAGUGGGGGAUAGCUCGCCGAAAGGCGAAUUAAUACCGCAUGUGAUUAGAGAGGACCAUCCUUUCCAAAUUAAAGUCGGGGCAACCUGACGCUUCUUGUGGGGCCCGCGGCCUAUCAGCUAGUUGGUGGGGUAACGGCUCACCAAGGCUUUGACGGGUAGCUGGUCUGAGAGGACGACCAGCCACACUGGGACUGAGACACGGCCCAGACACCUACGGGUGGCAGCAGUCGAGAAUUUUUGACAAUGGGGGAAACCCUGAUCGAGCGACGCCGCGUGGAGGAUGAAGGUCUUCGGAUUGUAAACUCCUGUCAUUGGGGAACAAGGUGCAUACGUUAACUGCGUGUGCAUUGAUAGUACCCGAAGAGGAAGAGACGGCUAACUCUGUGCCAGCAGCCGCGGUAAUACAGAGGUCUCAAGCGUUGUUCGGAUUCAUUGGGCGUAAAGGGUGCGUAGGCGGCGCGGUAAGUCGGGUGUGAAAUCUCGGAGCUUAACUCCGAAACUGCAUUCGAUACCGCCGUGCUUGAGGACUGGAGAGGAGACUGGAAUUCACGGUGUAGCA
rnacentral:rRNA from 1 species